UCCCGUGUGGCUCAGUUGGUAGAGCAUGGUGUUUGCAACGCCAGUUGGUAGAGCAUGGUGUUUGCAACGCCAGGGUUGUGGGUUUGAUUCCCACGGGAA
rnacentral:tRNA from 1 species